GCCGGAGUGGCGGAACUGGCAGACGCGCUAGACUCAAAAUCUGGUGCCCUUCGGGGCGUGUGGGUUCGAGUCCCACCUCCGGUACCA
rnacentral:tRNA from 1 species